AUUGAACGCUGGCGGCAGGCCUAACACAUGCAAGUCGAGCGGAGCGGCGGACGGGUGAGUAAUGCCUAGGAAUCUGCCUGGUAGUGGGGGAUACCGUCCGGCAACGGGCGCUAAUACCGCAUACUAUCAGAUGAGCCUAGGUCGGAUUAGCUAGUUGGUGGGGUAAAGGCCUACCAAGGCGACGAUCCGUAACUGGUCUGAGAGGAUGAUCAGUCACACUGGAACUGCGACACGGUCCAUACUCCUAGGGGAGGCAGCGGGGGGGAAUAUGGGACAAUGGGCGAAAGCCUGAUCCAGCCAUGCCGCGUGUGUGAAGAAGUUCUUCGGAUUGUAAAGUACUUUCAGCGGGGAGGCGUUACCCGCAGAAGAAGCACCGUCUAACUCCGUGCCAGCAGCCGCGGUAAUA
rnacentral:rRNA from 1 species